GUGAGCCGGCCCCUAAGCCGAGGCCGAAAGGCGUAGGCGAUGGGAACCAGGUUAAUAGUCCUGGGCCUGCUGGGAUGUGACGGAUGGCGCUUGGUCGUUCCCGCUUAUCGGAUUGCGGGGGCGGCGGGCUCCGUUCCAGGAAAUAGCCCCAGCUUCAGACCGUACCCUAAACCGACACAGGUGGACUGGUAGAGGAUACCAAGGCGCUUGAGAGAACUGCGUUGAAGGAACUCGGCAAAAUACUCCCGUAAGUUCGCGAGAAGGGAGCCCUUGCCUUGGGCAACCAGGGUGAGGGGGCACAGAAAUGAGGGUGGCGACUGUUUACUAAAAACACAGGGCUCUGCGAAGCCGCUAAGGCGACGUAUAGGGUCUGACGCCUGCCCGGUGCCGGAAGGUUAAGAGGAGGGGUUCACGCCCUGAAUUGAAGCCCCGGUAAACGGCGGCCGUAACAAUAACGGUCCUAAGGUAGCGAAAUUCCUUGUCGGGUAAGUUCCGACCUGCACGAAUGGCGUAACGACUGCCCUACUGUCUCCAACGCAGACUCAGCGAAAUUGAACUCUCCGUGAAGAUGCGGAGUUCCCGCGGUCAGACGGAAAGACCCCGUGAACCUUUACUACAGCUUCGCAGUGGCGCCAGGAAUGUCUUGUGUAGGAUAGGUGGGAGGCGUGGAAGCGGCGACGCCAGUCGUCGUGGAGCCAGCCUUGAAAUACCACCCUUGACCUUCUUGGCGUCUAACCGCGGCCCGUGAACCCGGGCCCGGGACCCUGCGUGGCGGGUAGUUUGACUGGGGCGGUCGCCUCCCAAAGAGUAACGGAGGCGCGCGAUGGUAGGCUCAGGCCGGUCGGAAAUCGGCUGUUGAGUGCAAUGGCACAAGCCUGCCUGACUGCGACACCGACGGGUGGAGCAGAGACGAAAGUCGGUCAUAGUGAUCCGGUGGUCCCGAGUGGAAGGGCCAUCGCUCAACGGAUAAAAGGUACUCCGGGGAUAACAGGCUGAUACCCCCCAAGAGUCCACAUCGACGGGGGUGUUUGGCACCUCGAUGUCGGCUCAUCACAUCCUGGGGCUGAAGCCGGUCCCAAGGGUAUGGCUGUUCGCCAUUUAAAGUGGUACGCGAGCUGGGUUUAGAACGUCGUGAGACAGUUCGGUCCCUAUCUGCCGUGGACGUUGGAGAUUUGAGGAAAGCUGCUCCUAGUACGAGAGGACCGGAGUGGACGAACCUCUGGUGUUCGGGUUGUGACGCCAGUCGCAUUGCCCGGUAGCUAUGUUCGGACAGGAUAACCGCUGAAAGCAUCUAAGCGGGAAGCCCCUUCCAAGAUGAGAUCUCCCUGGACCCUCGAGGUCCCUGAAGAGCCGUUCAAGACCAGGACGUUGAUAGGUCGGGUGUGUAAGCGCU
rnacentral:rRNA from 1 species